rnacentral:rRNA from 1 species
GACGAACGCUGGCGGCGUGCUUAACACAUGCAAGUCGAACGGAAAGGCCCUGCUUUUGUGGGGUGCUCGAGUGGCGAACGGGUGAGUAACACGUGAGUAACCUGCCCUUGACUUUGGGAUAACUUCAGGAAACUGGGGCUAAUACCGGAUAGGAGCUCCUGCUGCAUGGUGGGGGUUGGAAAGUUUCGGCGGUUGGGGAUGGACUCGCGGCUUAUCAGCUUGUUGGUGGGGUAGUGGCUUACCAAGGCUUUGACGGGUAGCCGGCCUGAGAGGGUGACCGGCCACAUUGGGACUGAGAUACGGCCCAGACUCAUACGGGAGGCAACAGUGGGGAAUAUUGCACAAUGGGCGGAAGCCUGAUGCAGCAACGCCGCGUGCGAGAUGACGGCCUUCGGGUUGUAACCCGCUUUCGCCUGUGACGAAGCGUGAGUGACGGUAAUGGGUAAAGAAGCACCGGCUAACUACGU